AACGAACGCUGGCGGCAGGCUUAACACAUGCAAGUCGAACGCACCGCAAGGUGAGUGGCAGACGGGUGAGUAACACGUGGGGAUCUGCCCAAUGGUACGGAAUAGCUCCGGGAAACUGGAAUUAAUACCGUAUGUGCCCGCAAGGGGAAAGAUUUAUCGCCAUUGGAUGAACCCGCGUCGGAUUAGCUAGUUGGUGGGGUAAAGGCCCACCAAGGCAACGAUCCGUAGCUGGUCUGAGAGGAUGAUCAGCCACACUGGGACUGAGACACGGCCCAGACUCCUACGGGAGGCAGCAGUGGGGAAUAUUGGACAAUGGGCGCAAGCCUGAUCCAGCCAUGCCGCGUGAGUGAUGAAGGCCUUAGGGUUGUAAAGCUCUUUCGCCGACGAAGAUAAUGACGGUAGUCGGAGAAGAAGCCCCGGCUAACUUCGUGCCAGCCGCCGCAGUAACAC
rnacentral:rRNA from 1 species